UCAGCAGUGUGACGCAGUUUUCCCGCCGUCUCCUUUUUUCUGUCAGCAGCUUUCUUUGAGGAAAGCAGUUAUCUGGCUCAGCCGCAAAUUAAACAUGGGUUUCUUAAAACAGUUAGACGUCGAAAAUUUCAAGUCCUGGCGAGGAAAACAAACUAUUGGACCAUUUAAAAGGUUUAAUUGCAUAAUUGGCACUAAUGGAUCAGGCAAAUCUAACGUCAUGGAUGCUCUUGGAUUUGUGAUGGGAGAGAGAGCAGUAAAUCUUCGUGUCAGACACAUCAGAGAUCUCAUCCAUGGUGCCCACAUCGGCAAACCCUCGUCCACCUUCGCCAGCGUGAGUAUGAUAUACUGUGGAGACAAUAACGAAGAAAUGAUCUUCAGCAGGCGCAUUUCAGGGGAAUCUUCUGAGUAUCGUGUGAAUGGUAAACAGAUCACUUUGGCAAAGUACACUGGAGAGCUGGAGAAGAUUGGCAUUGUGGUGAAAGCGAAGAAUUGUCUGGUGUAUCAGGGUGCUGUGGAGUCAAUUGCCAUGAUGAAUGCCAAAGAACGAACAAAGAUGUUUGAACGAAUCAGCAGCUCCGGAGAGCUGAGAGCCGAAUAUGAUGCCAAGCUAGCGGCCCUGCAGAAAGCCAAAGAGGACACCCAGUUCCACUUUAACAGGAAGAAAGCAGCUACAGCUGAGAAGAAACAAGUCUUCAAAGAUAAGACUGAGGCUGAAAAAUAUCAGGCGCUGGUGGAUGAACACAGAGAAAACAAACUCCAGCUGACCCUCUUUCAGCUUUUCCACAAUGAGAAAAAGAUAGACGCACAGUCAGAAUCACUGAGGGACAUGCAGGAUGCCGCAGCGCAGCAGAAGAGCAGCCUGGACGUCUAUGAACAAACUGUGAAGGCUCAGAAGAGAGAACAUGGGCGCCUGAAUCGAGAACUUCAGCAGUUGGAGAAGGAGAUCAGAUCUCAGGAGCAGAUUCUCAAUCAGCAGAGGCCUCAGUACAUCAAAGCUAAAGUGAACACCUCCCACCACGAGCAAAAAGUGGAGGAGGCGUGCAGAUCGCUUCAGAAGAACCGAAGUCAGCAGGCCAAGAAGGAGCAGGAACUGCAGGAGCUACGGAGCGAGCUGGCUGAGCUGGAGAGGGCUUGGAAGGCCUCUGAGAGACAGAUGGAGGAAGAGGCGGCUCAAAGAGGAGCUGGAGUGCAGCUAGAGGAGAGCCAGAUGGAGCGGUAUAAGGAACUCAAAGAGCUGGCCAGGAAAAAGGGAGCCGUUCUAAACCAAAGUGCAGAGAAGCUGCACUGGGAGGUAAAAGCCGACUGCGAGAAGCUCCAGUUUGACCUCAGGAGGAAAAGUGAGAUACAGGCAAAUAUUAAACACUCUCAGACUCGGUUGGAAGAUUUCAGCAGAAGGGCAGAAAAGCUGGAGGAAUUUGUCAACACUACUAGGAAAGCUCUUGAGGAGCAGCGGCAGCAGGAGGAGCAGCUGGCAGAGGAGCUGGCGAGGGGCCAUGUGAGAAUAGAGGAGGUGAAUGAGGAGCUCGCCCAGGUGCUGACCAAGCUGCAGAAUGCUCGUCUGGACAGCCAAGAGAACCGACGACAGCAGAGACGCGAUGAAGUCCUGGAAAGCCUCCGGAGACUCUAUCCUGAUACAGUGUAUGGCCGUCUAGUGGAUUUGUGCCAGCCCAUCCACAAGAAAUACCAGGUUGCUGUCACCAAGGUGUUUGGCAAGAACAUGAAUGCUAUUGUUGUCACAUCUGCGAAAGUGGCUCAUGACUGCAUCCGAUUUCUGAAAGAAGAAAGAGCAGAACCAGAGACAUUCCUUCCUAUUGACUAUAUAGAUGUGCGGACUCUGAACGAGCGUCUGAGGGAAGUGCAGGGAGCCAAGUUGGUGGUGGAUGUGGUUCAGUGCGCUCAAAAUGACCCUCAGCUUAAGAGGGUGAUCCAGUAUGUGUGUGGGAACUCCUUGGUUUGCGAGACUCUGAAAGAUGCCCGUCGCAUUGCCUUUGACGGCCCUGAGCGCCUUCAGACGGUGGCUCUUGAUGGCACCUUGUUUCGCAAGUCUGGGGUGAUUUCAGGAGGCUCCAUGGACCUGCGCAGUAAAGCUCGACGCUGGGAGGAGAAGGAUAUGAACAAACUGAAGGAAGAGAAGGAUCAACUGUCGUCUGAGUUGCGUGCCCUGAUGAAGCUGAAGCGUAAGGAAGUGGAUUUAAAACAGAUCAGGGCUCAUUCUCAGGGAAACCAGACUCGCCUCAAAUACUCCAACUCCGAACUGGACUCCAUACUCAAGAAGAGCAUCCCAGCUUGUCAGGCUGAGAUUUCCAAACUCAGAAGUGAGCUCUCCAACCUCGAGGCCCAGAUUGAGAUCCAGACUGAGAGUGUAGAACUAAAGGAUAAUGAGAUGAAGGCUGUCAGAGACAAAAUUAAUCAGUCGGAGGAUGUUGUGUUUGCGGACUUCUGCGCAGAGAUCGGUAUGGCUAACAUCCGUGAGUAUGAGCAGGAUUAUCUCCGAAUGCAGCAGGAGCUCGAGAAGAAGCGCCUGCAGUUUGAGUCCCAGCAUACCCGUCUAAGUACCCAGAUAGAGUACGAACAGGCUCAGCUGGAGAAACUUAUCAAACAGAUGAAGAAGAUAGAAGAGACCAUAGGAAAAGAGGAGAACGUUGUUAUCAGCUUGAAAGAGGUGGAAGACAGACUUUUGAUAGCUGUGGAGGAGACGCAAUCAAAUCUCAUCGACCUGAACAGCCAGCUGUCAGAAAAGACAACUUUAGUUAAAGAUGCCAAGACAGAGCUUGACAAGACUCUUAAAGGCCUGCAGGAGAAAUCCAAGGUACUGGUGAAGCUUCAGAAGGAAACAAUCUGCGCUGAGGCAGCUGUGGAACAGCUGAGACUGGGCAAACACAACCUGCUGCUGGCCUGUAAGAUAGACGGCCUCCCGCUGACUCUGAUCUCUGGAGUGCUAGAUGACAUCAGUGACAUACAGCUGGACUCAGAGUCUCAGAGCAUCAGCACUCUGGACAUUUAUGAACGAGAGGCGCAGAUGGUGUUUGAUUAUUCAACACUGGACCGUGGCCUUAAGGCCCCCACUGAAGAGAGUGAAGUGGAAGCGGAGUUGGAGAAGCUCAAAGAGGGUGUCUCCUCUUUGGAGUCCAUGAUCAUGAUGUCCAGAGCUCCCAACCUGAAAGCUCUAGAGAAGAUCAGAGAGGUGAAGGACAGCUUUCGGGAAGUAAUGGAUGCAUUUGAGACCAGCACACACACCACUAAGAAAUGCAGUCAGGAGUUUGAGCAGGUGAAGUCCAAACGCUUCCAUCUCUUCAGCCAGUGCUUUGAACACGUGUCUGUCGUCAUCGACCAGAUCUACAAAAAACUUUGCAGGAAUGCCAGCGCUCAGGCUAUUCUAAGUGCUGAGAAUCCAAAUGAGCCCUACCUGGAUGGCAUCAACUAUAACUGCGUGGCUCCUGGGAAACGAUUCAUGGCCAUGGACAACCUGUCAGGAGGAGAGAAGGCCAUCGCUGCUCUCGCUUUGGUCUUUGCCAUUCACAGCUUUCGUCCUGCCCCGUUUUUUGUGCUGGACGAGGUGGAUGCUGCCCUGGACAACACAAAUAUUGGCAAGGUUACAGGAUUUUUCCGUAUGAUGUCCAGAGAGAGCUGCCAGAUCAUUGUGAUCUCCCUGAAGGAGGAGUUCUACUCACGGGCAGACGCUCUUCUUGGAGUCUAUUCAAUGUUUGAUGAAUGCAUGUUUAGCCGUCUGCUCACCCUGGACCUCACCCCAUACCCACUCAAUGACGAGAACGCCACAGACAGAGAGAAGGACAAAUGAUGGGUGGACGGCUGAUAAUGAAGGAUCAAAUAUUAGUUGUUAAAGUUAAAAUUAAUUAAUUAAUAUCUAAAAAUUGAAUGUUGAACUGUUAAAUUGAAUUACCUAAAGAUCUCAUUCAGCAGGUUUGAGCUGUUUUUAUAUUUUGUGUUGACAUUUGAAUGUUUAAGAGGUUGUUCUGUGAUGCAACUUGAAAAGUGUUUGUUGAAGCGGUUUUAUGUGUUAUUGUUCAAUGCCAGUUUACAUUUGUUCAAUGUGGAAUAUGAUUUUAAUACAGUUUUACUGUUUGCAUUUGUGACGGUUUCUGUCAUUCUUUAUUAGUCGUUGUGCAAACUGUACACUUUGACCUGUCUCUCUGUCACUAGGGUGGGGUUUCAGCAAAACAUCAGCCCCUGUUACUCUAUUCUCUCUUUCUUUGUCCCUGCUUCUCUUCUUGUCUCCUGAAAUAUAAAGCUUUGCUUUCCUUAGCAACUCCAAUGGCAUCUUACACCGUGGUCAUUGUCCCUCUGAGGAACAGUCCUACCAGUCUGGAUGCGUUGCGUUUCUUCCUCUGGAUGUCAACUAUCACAGUUCAUCACGACAUUCCUGUCCAGCUCUGAGGGGAAUAUUCAAAGUUCACAGCUACUUAACACACACAUUGUGAUCUAUUUUUAUUUUGUUUACUCAACGCAAUUGUGAAAUUUUUUUGUAAUUUUUUUUUUUUUAGGUAGCUAUGGAAACAAACACUAAUAUUGUCGCUGAUAAUCAUGCAGAAA